rnacentral:rRNA from 1 species
AACGAACGCUGGCGGCAUGCCUAACACAUGCAAGUCGAACGAGACCUUCGGGUCUAGUGGCGCACGGGUGCGUAACGCGUAGGAAUCUGCCCUUGGGUUCGGAAUAACUCAGAGAAAUUUGAGCUAAUACCGGAUGAUGACGUAAGUCCAAAGAUUUAUCGCCCAAGGAUGAGCCCGCGUAAGAUUAGCUAGUUGGUGGGGUAAAGGCCUACCAAGGCGACGAUCUUUAGCUGGUCUGAGAGGAUGAUCAGCCACACUGGGACUGAGACACGGCCCAGACUCCUACGGGAGGCAGCAGUGGGGAAUAUUGGACAAUGGGCGAAAGCCUGAUCCAGCAAUGCCGCGUGAGUGAUGAAGGCCUUAGGGCUGUAAAAUUCUUUUACCAGGGACGAUAAUGACGGUACCUGGAGAAAAAGCCCCGGCUAACUUCGUGCCAGCCGCCGCAGUAA